CGGCCGUUGUUGAAGAUUUUGCUUAGUCUUCGUGAAGGAGCUUUGGCUGACCAAGUGUGUAGGACUUUCAUCCAGACACAAGCCAGUGAGCUGAAUAAAGAAGACGCUGUGUCCUUGUCACCUGCACCAGGCACUACAACUGCUGACUGCAUAAACAAAUUUGAAACAAGGUUUAUGGAUCUACGAAAGGUGGCUCUCAAAGAAAUAACUGAGAAACAAAUACCUGUGGCUGAUUUCCGCCAAACACUCAUGAUAUUGCCAAGCUCUAUGACAAAUGAAAAUAAAGAUUUUAUCAUAUCGAAGUAUUCCUUGUUUGAAAAAGCAGAGUCAAUCGAAAGCAUCUUUUUGCAUCUCA